rnacentral:lncRNA from 1 species
UGAGUGGAAACACUUACAUUAAUUGUAAUACAACGUUAGUUUCUCACUCUGUUGCCCAGGCUGGAGUACCGUGGUGUAAUUUCGACUCACUACAGCCUCUGCCUCCCGGGUUCCAGUAAUUCUCCUGCCUCAGCUUCCAGAGCAGCUGAGAUUACAGGCAUGCACCACUACACCCAG